AAAGAAAAAGCAUUUUAUUAUUAAUAAAUAAUUCGAUACAAGUACCAAAAAUAUUGGCCUCUAGGACUUACACCAACACUAGGUUCAGAGUCUGAUAGCAUCACAUGUCACUUCUUCAGAGUCAAAACUUGUAUCUAGUAUCUGCAUACUUAACAAAACCAUUAGAAUACAAAAUUGUUCUUUAUGAAUUUAUGUAUUGUUAUCAUCAAAAUAUAAGGCCAGAUUCAGAACCAAAUCUUGUUCUUGCAGAGAUGGGAGGUAACACCAAGGACAUCACCACAAAAGAGGUUUCAUUCCACCCGCAGUAGCAACAUAAUCCUUAAAAAUAGAGACGAGACACCAACAUUCUCCAUAUUAUAAUCAUCACACUUCAAUUUCUGAAGAAAUAAUCAAAUAUUUCUGAGUGUUUGUAUAUA
rnacentral:lncRNA from 1 species